AUACGGAGGAUCCGAGCGUUAUCCGGAUUUAUUGGGUUUAAAGGGUGCGCAGGCGGCCAUUUAAGUCAGCGGUUAAAUCGUGGGGCUCAACCCCAUUCUGCCGUUGAUACUGGGUGGCUUGAUUGCGGUCGAGGUUGGCGGAAUUCGUUGUGUAGCGGUGAAAUGCAUAGAUAUGACGAAGAAAACCGAUUGCGUAGGCAGCUGACCAGACCGCAAAUGACGCUCAUGCACGAAAGUGCGGGGAUCGAACAGGAUUAGAUACCCUGGUAGUCCGCACAGUAAACGAUGAAUACUUGUUUUCGGCGAUAUAAUGUCGGAGGCAAAGCGAAAGCGAUAAGUAUUCCACCUGGGGAGUACGCCGGCAACGGUG
rnacentral:rRNA from 1 species